AUUCCGGUUGAUCCUGCCGGAGGCCAUUGCUAUCGGAGUCCGAUUUAGCCAUGCUAGUCACACGGGUUUAGACCCGUGGCGAAUAGCUCCGUAACACGUGGCCAAUCUACCCUACGGACCGGUAUAACCUCGGGAAACUGAGGCUAAUCCCGGAUACUGCUCCUACGCUGGAACGCCGGGAGCUGGAAACGUUCCGACGCCGUAGGAUGAGGCUGCGGCCGAUUAGGUAGACGGUGGGGUAACGGCCCACCGUGCCGAUAAUCGGUACGGGUUGUGAGAGCAAGAACCCGGAGACGGAAUCUGAGACAAGAUUCCGGGCCCUACGGGGCGCAGCAGGCGCGAAACCUUUACA
rnacentral:ncRNA from 1 species